AUCAAAUCUUUCCAAAAUUAUACCCAAAAAGCCUUCCCACUUUCUCUCUACUUCAACUCUUCCCAUUUCCAUUGGAUCGAUUGCGUCGUCACCAGCUUCUUCUCUCGUUAGGGUUUUGUUUCUUUUCUUUGGGGGGUGCCGUUUUCCUUCAACGAACGGGGGAUCUUUUGCUGCUUCGUUAUUUUUGAAUUUUUUUCUCGUUAUGGACUAUGAAGUUUGCGAUAGUAGUGGGACAAAUCUUUCUAAAAAGGAUUGCGGUGAGUUACGGGAAAGAUGCUUGUCUUUUCUUUUAGAGCUGCCACAGGGACAAAUCUUUCUAAAAAGGAUUGCGGUGAGUUACGGGAAAGAUGCUUGUCUUUUCUUUUAGAGCUGC